CGACUUAUAUUCUGUAGCAAGGUUAACCGAAUAGGGGAGCCGGAGGGAAACCGAGUCUUAAUUGGGCGUUAAGUUGCAGGGUAUAGACCCGAAACCCGGUGAUCUAGCCAUGGGCAGGUUGAAGGUUGGGUAACACUAACUGGAGGACCGAACCGACUAAUGUUGAAAAAUUAGCGGAUGACCUGUGGCUGGGGGUGAAAGGCCAAUCAAACCGGGAGAUAGCUGGUUCUCCCCGAAAGCUAUUUAGGUAGCGCCUCGUGAAUUCAUCUCCGGGGGUAGAGCACUGUUUCGGCUAGGGGGCCAUCCCGGCUUACCAACCCGAUGCAAACUGCGAAUACCGGAGAAUGUUAUCACGGGAGACACACGGCGGGUGCUAACGUCCGUCGUGAAGAGGGAAACAACCCAGACCGCCAGCUAAGGUCCCAAAGUCAUGGUUAAGUGGGAAACGAUGUGGGAAGGCCCAGACAGCCAGGAUGUUGGCUUAGAAGCAGCCAUCAUUUAAAGAAAGCGUAAUAGCUCACUGGUCGAGUCGGCCUGCGCGGAAGAUGUAACGGGGCUAAACCAUGCACCGAAGCUGCGGCAGCGACACUGUGUGUUGUUGGGUAGGGGAGCGUUCUGUAAGCCUGUGAAGGUGUGUCGUGAGGCAUGCUGGAGGUAUCAGAAGUGCGAAUGCUGACAUAAGUAACGAUAAAGCGGGUGAAAAGCCCGCUCGCCGGAAGACCAAGGGUUCCUGUCCAACGUUAAUCGGGGCAGGGUGAGUCGACCCCUAAGGCGAGGCCGAAAGGCGUAGUCGAUGGGAAACGGGUUAAUAUUCCCGUACUUGGUGUUACUGCGAAGGGGGGACGGAGAAGGCUAUGUUGGCCGGGCGACGGUUGUCCCGGUUUAAGCGUGUAGGUGUGUGUUCCAGGUAAAUCCGGUUCACUUUAACACUGAGGCGUGACGACGAGGCACUACGGUGCUGAAGCAACAAAUGCCCUGCUUCCAGGAAAAGCCUCUAAGCAUCAGGUAACAUCAAAUCGUACCCCAAACCGACACAGGUGGUCAGGUAGAGAAUACCAAGGCGCUUGAGAGAACUCGGGUGAAGGAACUAGGCAAAAUGGUGCCGUAACUUCGGGAGAAGGCACGCUGACACGUAGGUGAAGUGAUUUACUCAUGGAGCUGAAGUCAGUCGAAGAUACCAGCUGGCUGCAACUGUUUAUUAAAAACACAGCACUGUGCAAACACGAAAGUGGACGUAUACGGUGUGACGCCUGCCCGGUGCCGGAAGGUUAAUUGAUGGGGUCAGCGCAAGCGAAGCUCCUGAUCGAAGCCCCGGUAAACGGCGGCCGUAACUAUAACGGUCCUAAGGUAGCGAAAUUCCUUGUCGGGUAAGUUCCGACCUGCACGAAUGGCGUAAUGAUGGCCAGGCUGUCUCCACCCGAGACUCAGUGAAAUUGAACUCGCUGUGAAGAUGCAGUGUACCCGCGGCAAGACGGAAAGACCCCGUGAACCUUUACUAUAGCUUGACACUGAACAUUGAGCCUUGAUGUGUAGGAUAGGUGGGAGGCUUUGAAGUGUGGACGCCAGUCUGCAUGGAGCCGACCUUGAAAUACCACCCUUUAAUGUUUGAUGUUCUAACGUGGACCCGUUACCCGGGUUGCGGACAGUGUCUGGUGGGUAGUUUGACUGGGGCGGUCUCCUCCUAAAGAGUAACGGAGGAGCACGAAGGUUGGCUAAUCCUGGUCGGACAUCAGGAGGUUAGUGCAAUGGCAUAAGCCAGCUUGACUGCGAGCGUGACGGCGCGAGCAGGUGCGAAAGCAGGUCAUAGUGAUCCGGUGGUUCUGAAUGGAAGGGCCAUCGCUCAACGGAUAAAAGGUACUCCGGGGAUAACAGGCUGAUACCGCCCAAGAGUUCAUAUCGACGGCGGUGUUUGGCACCUCGAUGUCGGCUCAUCACAUCCUGGGGCUGAAGUAGGUCCCAAGGGUAUGGCUGUUCGCCAUUUAAAGUGGUACGCGAGCUGGGUUUAGAACGUCGUGAGACAGUUCGGUCCCUAUCUGCCGUGGGCGCUGGAGAACUGAGGGGGGCUGCUCCUAGUACGAGAGGACCGGAGUGGACGCAUCACUGGUGUUCGGGUUGUCAUGCCAAUGGCACUGCCCGGUAGCUAAAUGCGGAAGAGAUAAGUGCUGAAAGCAUCUAAGCACGAAACUUGCCCCGA
rnacentral:rRNA from 1 species